rnacentral:rRNA from 1 species
UCCGUAGGGGGCAAGCGUUGUCCGGAAUCAUUGGGCGUAAAGAGCGUGUAGGCGGCUCGGUAAGUCCGCUCUGAAAGCCCGGGGCUCAACCCCGGGAGGCGGGCGGAUACUGUCGGGCUAGAGUCCGGAAGAGGCGAGUGGAAUUCCUGGUGUAGCGGUGAAAUGCGCAGAUAUCAGGAGGAACACCAAUGGCGAAGGCAGCUCGCUGGGACGGUACUGACGCUGAGACGCGAAAGCGUGGGGAGCAAACAGG